rnacentral:tRNA from 1 species
GGAGAGAUGUCUGAGUGGCCGAAAGAGCACGAUUGGAAAUCGUGUAUAUCCUUAAUCGGGUAUCGAGGGUUCGAAUCCCUCUCUCUCCA